UGUUGGGUUUUCAGGCAGUGUAGUUAGCUGAUUGUGUUAACAUAAGACUUGCAAUCACUAGCUAAACUACCAGCAAAACUAAACA